rnacentral:lncRNA from 1 species
AGCACUUCCUCUUCCUGCUGCCACGAGAAGAAGGAUGUGUUUGCUUCCCCUUUUGCCACGACCGACCGACCAUAAGUUUCCUGAGGCCACCCCAGACCUGCAGAAUUGCCGUGCCCACCUGCUGCUGCUUGGGUCCUGUGCACAAGCUGUUCCCGCUGCCUCCAAUACUCAUCCCCUCGACUUCUAUGGAGCUGACUCUUCACCUUCCAGCCUUGGCUCAAAUGUCACCUUCACAGUAAAGGCUACCCAUGGCUGGGUGUGUGGUUGUGCAGGAUCUGCCCCUUCCAAAGGGCCAGAAUGGCUGUAACAUGACAUCGAGCUGCUGUUCUGGACUCAUUGGUCUGCUUCCUGGGAACGUCAAAGAUGUCUUUACCUCCUUCUUCAUGGGUGAGAAGAUUGACGUCUUGAAGGCCAACUUGAUCCUGAAAAGUAGACACAGCUCAGCCCUUGGUGUUUGGUUCUCCAGAGAGGUGCUGUGGUGUUGCCUACUUUCCCUAGCCUGAUGAGUGUGGUUCUGCAAAUAGAAGCCUCUCUCCUCUGUGUCAUCUAAUGGCAUGUGUGUAUACUUCCAAGAUGACCCUAAUGACUGAACACCUCAUAGGUAUUUUAGCAUGGUUUUGUUCAGUUGGUUUAUUUUUGUCUACAAUCUCAAAAAGCCUGGCCAACAUGGUGAAACCACGUCUCUACUAAAAAUACAAAAAUCAGCCAGGCCUGGUGGCAUGCACCUGAAAUCCCAGCUACUCAGGAGGCUAAGGAAGGAGAGUCGCUUGAACCCGGGAGGCAGAUGUUGCAGCAAGCUGAGAUCAUGCCACUGCACUCCAGCCCGGGCAACAGAGCAAGACUCCAUCUCAAAAAAAAAAAUUUUUUUUUUGAUUAAAGUGAUUCGUGGAUAAGAAUAUGAUUAUCUGGGAAUGCUUUGAAGCCAAGAAGCAGAGUGUGGCUUUAGUGAGACCACAUCCUUCUGUUCAGCCCACCGUCCUGCCUUCUCUGGUGCCCACAGUGAUAUCUUACCUAGUGGAAUCCUCUUUGUUUCUGGAGGAAAACUUCGUUUUUUUCCUCAUGGGCUCUGAUGAGCUUCUAUUUCCUGGAAGAAUGGAGAAGAAAGACAUCAGUGAUGGGCAAUGGCCUUGGGCCAUUCUCCGUCCACAGGGGCAUGACUCUCGGAACAGUCCAGGAGCACACUAAGGGGAGCGGACAUGGUACGGUGUGACGUGGCAGGAGAUGUGGGCUCAGGUCUCAUGUGCAUCACUGAUUACCUGUGUGACCCUGAAGAACUGGCUUCAUCACUCCGGACCUCAGCUUCCUCAACUGUAAAGUGGGGAUGUGCGUAUCUUCCAUUCGUUCAUACAUUUGGCAAGAAUUAAUAACUGCUUGUUUCAUGUACUCUCCAAUAUUGUAUGCUCUAUUUUCUAAACACCUGUUAUAUUACUGUUUAAUAUUUCUCUUUAAGUAGACCUGGGCAUUUAAACUUAGUACAUUUGGCCAGGCACGGUGGCUCAUGCCUGUAAUCCCAGUACUUUGGGAGGCUAAGGCAGGCAGAUCACCUGAGGUCAGGAGUUCACGACCAGCCUGGCCAACAUGGCGAAACCCCAUCUCUACUGAAAAAUACAAAAAUUAGCCGGGCAUUGCGGCGAGCGCCUGUAGACCCAGCUACUUGGGAGGCUGAGGCAGGGAGAAUUGCUUGAACCCAGGAGGUGGAGGUUGCAGUGAGCCGAGAUCGUGCCACUGCACUCCAUACUGGGCGACAGAGUGAGACUCCGUCUCAAAAAUAAAUAAAUAAAAUAAAAAAUAAAAUAGGCCGGACACGGUGGCUCAUGCCUGUAAUCCCAGCACUUUGGGAGGCCGAGACAGGCAGAUCACGAGGUCAGGAGUUGGAGACCAGCCUGACCAACAUGGUGAAAUCCCCCAUCUCUACUAAAAAUACAAAAAUUAGCCAGGCAUGGUGGCACACGCCUGUAAUCCCAGCUACUCAGGAGGCUGAGGCAGAAGAAUCGCUUGAACCCUGGGGACGGAGGUUGCAGUGAGCCAAGAUAGCACCAUUGCACUCCAGCCUGGGCAAUGAGAGCGAAACUCCGUCUCAAAAAAUAUACAUACAUACAUACAUGCAUACAUACAUACAUAAAUAAAAUAAACUUAGUACAUUUAUUUUUAAAAGAAAUUUUAUGAUUAUCACAAAUAAAAAAUAAGUACAUAUUUAUUGCAAGUAGAAAAACCAAUAUCAUUUGCAAUAAAUAGAAGGUAGCUACAAUUAAUUCAAUAAGUGAUAUAAAAACUAUAUUAUUCAACUUUAAUUAGAUAUUACUUCCUAAAGUGUCUAUCUUUGAACUUCUCAAAAUAGUCCACAUAUAACAACAAUACAAAAAUCCUUUUUUUUUUUUUUUUUGAGACAGGGUCUCACUCUGCUGCCUGUGCUGGAGUGCAGUGGCAUGAUUUCAGCUCACUGCAACCUCAACCACCCAGGCUCAGGUGAUCCUCCCACCUCAGUCUCCUGAGUAGCUAGGAGUACAGGCGCAUGCCACCACACCUGGCUAAUUUUCCUAUCUUUUGUAGAGACGGGGUUUUGUCAUGUUACCCAGGCUGGUCUCCAACUCCUGGGGGCAAGCAACCCUCUCAAUAAACACAACAAUCAAGGUACAGAUUCACAAAAUGGAAAUAAUACAGCAAUAACAAUAUUGCUCCAAAAUAAAUUUUUAAGAUCCUCCAAGUACAAAUGUAUUUUAAUGAAUAAUAAGCAGAAAUCAUCUCAAGCAAGGACAUGAAUAACAGACACCAGUGCCGCUCUGAAGAAAGCAUCUUAGUACUUUAUAUUCAAAGACUCUGGCUUGCCUGAGAAUUUUGGGGACAAUGAAACCUGGGAAGCAAUAGCACUAGUUCUUCACAGAUAUUAAUAAUUUUGGACUAAGAAAAUUAUUAAAGACUGCUACAGACUGAAAGCUAAUGUCUUGUCAAAAUUAGUAUGUUGAACCUUAAUCCCCAGCAUGAUGGUAUUUGGAGGUGGGACUCUUGGGAGGUGACUAGGUCAUGAGGGCUCCAUCUUAUGAAUGAGAUUGUGCCUUUAUAAAAAAAACAGCAAAAAGAUUUCUCACCCCUUCUCCCAUGUGAGCAUGCAGCAAGAAGAUAGAGAAGACAGAUGUCUAUGAAUCAGGAAGAGGACCUUCAUCAUAGACUGAAUCUGUUGGUACCUUGAUCUCGGACUUUACAGACUCCAGAACCACAAGAUAUGAAUUUCUGUAGUUUAUAAGCCACUCAGUUUAUGAUUCUUUGUUAUAGCAGCCCAAAAGGAACUAAGAUGAUGACCAUGAAAUUACCAAUUAGAGCAGCAAACUUAAGGUUCUGUGUAUCAUGAUCUUGAACAUUUGGGCAUUAAUUAUUUGC